rnacentral:rRNA from 1 species
UACGUAGGGCGCAAGCGUUAUCCGGAAUUAUUGGGCGUAAAGAGCUCGUAGGCGGUUUGUCGCGUCUGCCGUGAAAGUCCGGGGCUCAACUCCGGAUCUGCGGUGGGUACGGGCAGACUAGAGUGAUGUAGGGGAGACUGGAAUUCCUGGUGUAGCGGUGAAAUGCGCAGAUAUCAGGAGGAACACCGAUGGCGAAGGCAGGUCUCUGGGCAUUAACUGGCGCUGAGGAGCGAAAGCAUGGGGAGCGAACAGG